rnacentral:rRNA from 1 species
AUUGAACGCUGGCGGCAGGCCUAACACAUGCAAGUCGAGCGGUAGAGAGGUGCUUGCAUCUCUUGAGAGCGGCGGACGGGUGAGUAAUGCCUAGGAAUCUGCCUAGUGGUGGGGGAUAACGUUCGGAAACGGACGCUAAUACCGCAUACGUCCUACGGGAGAAAGCGGGGGAUCUUCGGACCUCGCGCCAUUAGAUGAGCCUAGGUCGGAUUAGCUAGUUGGUGAGGUAAUGGCUCACCAAGGCGACGAUCCGUAACUGGUCUGAGAGGAUGAUCAGUCACACUGGAACUGAGACACGGUCCAGACUCCUACGGGAGGCAGCAGUGGGGAAUAUUUGGGACAAUGGGCGCAAGCCUGAUCCAGCCAUGCCGCGUGUGUGAAGAAGGCCUUAGGUGUAAGCACUUCUAGCGAGGAGGAAGAGGUUGUAGUUAAUAGCUGCAAUCUUUGACGUUACUCGCAGAA